rnacentral:tRNA from 1 species
GCGGGGGUGGCAGAGCUUGGUCAAAUGCGCGGGACUCAAGAUCCCGUCCCUUAGGGGUUCGUGGGUUCGAAUCCCACCCCCCGCACCA